CAUUUUUUUUUUUGUCAGGAUCACUUUUCUAAGCGUUUGUUGUUGUAAUACUCAUUUUGGCCACAACAAGCUGAAGUGCACCACCACCCCAUGUUCUAAAUAGGACUAAAAGCAUUCAUGUUUUCUUCCAGAGGUCUACGCAGACCAGAGGAGGGGAGCAGUGAUGUUUCCUGCAGGCCUCUGAAGAGCAGCCGACGGAGAUGCCCUGGGAGGAGACCACCUGAAGCCCCUCUGAAGACUGCUCCCGAUCCAGGGGAAUGGUGCGGCCAUAAAGCCUCAGAUCACGCAAACAGCC